rnacentral:rRNA from 1 species
UACGUAGGGUGCGAGCAUUGUCCGGAAUUAUUGGGCGUAAAGAGCUCGUAGGCGGUGUGUCACGUCGGCCGUGAAAACCUGCAGCUUAACUGUGGGCGUGCGGUCGAUACGGGCAUCACUGGAGUUCGGCAGGGGAGACUGGAAUUCCUGGUGUAGCGGUGAAAUGCGCAGAUAUCAGGAGGAACACCGGUGGCGAAGGCGGGUCUCUGGGCCGAUACUGACGCUGAGGAGCGAAAGCGUGGGGAGCAAACAGG